CUACGGGCUGCUCCAGUGGGGGAUAUUGCACAAUGGGGGAAACCCUGAUGCAGCAACGCCGCGUGAAGGAAGACGGUUUUCGGAUUGUAAACUUCUAUCAGCAGGGAAGAAAAUGACGGUACCUGACUAAGAAGCCCCGGCUAACUACGUGCCAGCAGCCGCGGUAAUACGUAGGGGGCAAGCGUUAUCCGGAAUUACUGGGUGUAAAGGGUACGUAGGCGGCUGAUCAAGUCAGAUGUGAAAGCCCGGAGCUCAACUCCGGGACUGCAUUUGAAACUGGUCGGCUAGAGUGCAGGAGAGGAAAGUGGAAUUCCUAGUGUAGCGGUGACAUGCGUAGAUAUUAGGAAGAACACCAGUGGCGAAGGCGGCUUUCUGGACUGUAACUGACGCUGAGGUACGAAAGCGUGGGGAGCGAACAGGAUUAGAUACCCUAGUAGUC
rnacentral:rRNA from 1 species